rnacentral:tRNA from 1 species
GGAAGGGUGACCGAGCUGGCCUAAGGUGAUCGCCUGCUAAGCGAUUGUGUGGGAGACCGCACCGUGGGUUCAAAUCCCACCCCUUCCG